rnacentral:rRNA from 1 species
AAUAGAUACCCCGGUAGUCCACGCCGUAAACGAUGAGUGCUAAGUGUUAGGGGGUUUCCGCCCCUUAGUGCUGCAGCUAACGCAUUAAGCACUCCGCCUGGGGAGUACGGUCGCAAGACUGAAACUCAAAGGAAUUGACGGGGGCCCGCACAAGCGGUGGAGCAUGUGGUUUAAUUCGAAGCAACGCGAAGAACCUUACCAGGUCUUGACAUCCCGCUGACCGCUAUGGAGACAUAGCUUUCCCUUCGGGGACAGCGGUGACAGGUGGUGCAUGGUUGUCGUCAGCUCGUGUCGUGAGAUGUUGGGUUAAGUCCCGCAACGAGCGCAACCCUUGUCCUUAGUUGCCAUCAUUCAGUUGGGCACUCUAAGGAGACUGCCGGCUAAAAGUCGGAGGAAGGUGGGGAUGACGUCAAAUCAUCAUGCCCCUUAUGACCUGGGCUACACACGUGCUACAAUGGACGGUACAAACGGUUGCGAAGUCGCGAGAUGGAGCUAAUCCGAGAAAACCGUUCUCAGUUCGGAUUGCAGGCUGCAACG